UUUGUAAUUAGAGUGAGUACAUGGUGCUUCCUCACUGGGGAAAAAAAAAAGAGAUGAGCAGCUGUCUCAGCAAUAUUGAAGUCAGCGAGGACUCCCAAUGAAAUCAGAUACUCAUCUGCAGAGAGAACAAGUCCCGUACAUCCAUCAGCCAGGCAUGUGUCACAGCUAGUUGAAGAGAAAUGACUUUUAGAAAGUUAAGCUUCCUCUGAAACCUCAGUACAUCUAUUAAUAAGGGAGAAUGAAAAGAAGACUAGAAAAUAAACUAGAAAUACAAGCAGUAGUCACCUGAGGCUGCACAUGAUUAACUUCACUAAAGCCCAUUACAUGCCUCUACAAGGAGAAAAUUCAAAUACUUUAUUGCAUUAGCUAAUGGUAAAAAUAAACUAGUGUGGCUUACAUACUAACAUGUAACAAUUUCAAGACUCAAACAAUUAUUUGAAACCUGAUUCUGACUUUACACCCAUUCUACGUUGGAUUAACUGCAUUUCUAUCGAGAUAAAUUUCAGUGGAGUUGUGCACACAUCCAUCAAUUUAAACAGACAGAGAUGCACCCAAGCUUUUGUCUAAGCUCUGAAGAUAUACUCUUAAAAAAUACUAGGCCUUGUCCAAAGAACUAAGAGUUCUAAGUUUUAUCCUGCACUGUGCAAAUACUAUUUUACUGUGGCAAGGCAAUGUCUUCAAGAUGAUCAGUAAAGAAGCCUGGGAGCCAGAAUAAUAAGCACCAUUUUCAAUAGAUGCUGACUUACAAGGUCUGAGAGACAGGGAAAUUCACACAACUGGGUCUUUUCCCUCUGUUCUGCUGCUAGCACUGUGCCUCAUAUCUAUUCUGCACAGCAGCUCAUCUUUGCUCUCACUCCAGGACCCCAUCUGCCAGACGUAACCGGUCACCGCCGCAUCGGCAGCCAUGCCCACGAGACAGCAGGGACAGCACGUACCUUUCCCCUGGCACAUCCCAGAUUUGGCAAUAUUGCAACUGGAAUUUGCUUUGAAUGAAGACUAAGGACUGAAUGCCACCUUAAUCUCUCUCUGAAGAAAAGCAAUGUUGGGAAAUGCCUGGAAAUGAAGGUCCUUGAUUCACUACUUCCUUCCAUGGCAGCUCACGCUGCCUUUACCCUGCUUCUAAGCCUUAGAUUCUAAUAUUCAUGUAUAUUUCUAACUGUGUCCAAAUCCAAACAGUAAAAAUAGUCUUUUUCUUUAGAACAUGAUAACCUCAGGUAAAAAAUGUUUUGACUUCUGUGAUAUGUGAAAUCUGGACCUAUUUUAAAUAAGGCCAUCUCUACUUAAAACCUGUCUC
rnacentral:lncRNA from 1 species